ACAGACUGAAAAUUACCUUUGGCGUUCUCAGUAGCCUUUGGUGAGAUACCUGUGCCUAUAUUGAUCUGGAGCAUUAAGCUUAUUACCCACCUUUAAUUAAAAUGUGGACGUAAUGAAACCCAUGCUCCUACACCG